rnacentral:misc_RNA from 1 species
AAAAUAAUCCUACCCUUUGUGAAUUUUGUUUGUUUGAAUAAUUUUUUUUUUAAAAAAUUAUUGGAGUCUUUCCCUUUAGAGUUUGCUUUUGAGUUUGUAAAAGAAUUCGAAAACAUCUAAAGGGGAUGGUCAGUAAUUUUUUUGAAAAAAGACAUUUUUUAAAAUUAAGCUUUUUGUAUUCAUUUGUCUAAAAAUUAUUUUUAUAAUAUAAAAACAACUUUUGACAAUGGAUCUCUUGGUUCUCGCAACGAUGAAGAACGCAGCAAAAUGCGAUAAGUAGUGUGAAUUGCAGAAUACGUGAAUCAUCGAAUCUUUGAACGCAUAUUGCACUUUUUUAGUUUACUAAAAAAGUAUGUCUGUUUGAGUAUCAGUAAAAUAUUCUCAUAAAAAUCAUUGUAUUUUUAUGGUUAUGAGUGUUUUACAACGAUACAAGUUGUUUCACUUUAAAUUUUUUUUUAAUAUUGAAAUUUUUCUAAUUUUAAUAAUUAAAAUUGGAUAAAAUUUUCCCGUCAAAAGGAAUAACCUAAACAAUUUUAAAUGAUUAAUUUUAGCAAAAUUUUCGUAAAAAAGGAAAAUUUUUAUUAAAAUAACUUGAUCUCAAAUCAGAUAAGAGUACCCGCUGAGCUUAAGCAUAUCAAUAAGCGGAGGAAAAGAAACUAACAAGGAUUCCCUUAGUAACGGCGAGUGAAGCGGGAAGAGCUCAAAUUUGAAAUCUUCAAGGUUUUACCUUGACGAAUUGUAGUUUAAAGAAGUGUUUUCUGCUGAAGUUUUGGUAAAAGUUCUUUGGAAUAGGACAUCAUGAGGGUGAGAAUCCCGUAUUUGACCAUUAUUUUCAGCUUUGUGAUACACUUUCAAAGAGUCGGAUUGUUUGGGAAUGCAGUCCAAAAUGGGUGGUAAAUUUCAUCUAAAGCUAAAUAUUGGCGAGAGACCGAUAGCGAACAAGUACCGUGAGGGAAAGAUGAAAAGAACUUUGAAAAGAGAGUUAAACAGUACGUGAAAUUGUCAAAAGGGAAGCGUUUGACACCAGUGUUGUUUUCUCGAAAAUCAAUUAAAAAUGGCUCGAUUUUGUAUUGCUGAGACCUUAAAAGCUCACUGUACAUUUUUCGUGUCUUUUUUAAUGCACUUUUCGUUUAACAAGUCAACAUCAGUUUCUUUUGUUGUAAAAGGGUCAUUGGAAGGUGGCUUUCUUUCGGAGAAAGUGUUUAUAGCCUUUGGCCUCUGCAAUCGGAGAGACUGAGGUCUGCAGCGUAGACUCUUCGGGUUAGAUACAUUUGUGCUAAGUUAUAGCUUUUUAUAGACAACUUGUUGACUAUAAUUAGUCUUGUAGCUUACUCGCUUAUGCUAUUU